AUGCAAUGCAGCUUGGUAGUUGUGUUAUCUUGUGAAAAGAGAUCUUCCUGUGGAAAAAAAAAAUCCUCAAGCUGCCCCUACAAUGGAGAUGUCCCUGCAGGAGGCAUGGUUUGUGACUGAGGGGUAUGGAAUUGCAGGUGGGCUGGAACUGGGGUGAGCUGGUCUGUGACUACAAGGCUCUGCCACCCACAAAUCCUGUGUUCCAAUGGCAGUGCAGUUAAUGGCUGGCUGAGUCUGCUGAGAGAACUUCUAGAGGGGCAGGAUUUCAUCCCCCUUCUAACCAGCAGUCCCUUGAGAGGAGUCUUCUGUAGCAGAUGGUUUCCCUUGUUUGAGGAGAUGGAAACACACAUGCACAAAUGCUAUGUAGUGAUGUAAUGAGGCUGUCCAGAAUAAAGCUAUCACCUUCACAAGCCUGGAAGAUGAUUUGGAUUGAGACAAUGGACCCAGAUGCCUGUGAGCUCCAUCUUCCAAGACAAAGAGAAGCAUGUACAAGGUCUCAGGAGCCAAGAGCCUGAAGCAAAAACUGCAAAGAGAAGCAGAUUAUCCUGCAAUGCUUUACUCAUCUUUAAAAGUUCUAAAUCCAGAGCAAAACAAAGG